rnacentral:rRNA from 1 species
ACGGGUGAGUAACGCGUGGGAAUCUACCCAUCUCUACGGAAUAACGCAUGGAAACGUGUGCUAAUACCGUAUACGUCCUUCGGGAGAAAGAUUUAUCGGAGAUGGAUGAGCCCGCGUUGGAUUAGCUAGUUGGUGGGGUAAAGGCCUACCAAGGCGACGAUCCAUAGCUGGUCUGAGAGGAUGAUCAGCCACACUGGGACUGAGACACGGCCCAGACUCCUACGGGAGGCAGCAGUGGGGAAUAUUGGACAAUGGGCGCAAGCCUGAUCCAGCCAUGCCGCGUGAGUGAUGAAGGCCCUAGGGUUGUAAAGCUCUUUCACCGGUGAAGAUAAGGACGGUAACCGGAGAAGAAGCCCCGGCUAACUUCGUGCCAGCAGCCGCGGUAAUACGAAGGGGGCUAGCGUUGUUCGGAUUUACUGGGCGUAAAGCGCACGUAGGCGGACUAUUAAGUCAGGGGUGAAAUCCCGGGGCUCAACCCCGGAACUGCCUUUGAUACUGGUAGUCUUGAGUUCGAGAGAGGUGAGUGGAAUUCCGAGUGUAGAGGUGAAAUUCGUAGA